ensembl:lncRNA
GCUGAAGACAUUGAGUAGUUUAUUCAUAUCACUUGGUGGGAGCUUUCAUUUUCUUUACAAUUCAUGUUCUUCCCUCUUUGUCAUGCAAGAUUUUCUUUUCAUUUAAUAAUUUAUGCUCCUCUUUCAUUGUCAGCCUCAUCUCACCUCUGGACUUUCUUUGCUUUCCACUUUUUGAUGUUGAAUCUCCUUUUCUUCUUGCUCUCGCUUGCUUUUUUUUUCCAUGUUAACUCCUCCUUAAUUGGCCAUUCACUCCAUAACUGGAGUCCAUUGAAUGUUAUCUCACUUUACACUACCUUUAUAACACUCUAAGUGUUGUUAUUCAAGGCCUUGAACUGUAACAGCAUUCUGAUUCUCCGUCCCAGAGAGAUUAUCUAAUCAUCCAUCUGCUGAGUUGAGUUUUUUAAAUUCUUUUUCUCCUGAUGCCAAUACUCUUUCAAGCGUGUUUAGAAUUAUUUAUUGCAUGAUCUGAAAGUCUUUUCACAGAAGACAAAUAUCAAAUGGGAAUUUAUGAUGUUGUUUCACGUUUUGCUAUGUGCUCUUUUUUUAAAUUUUCCUUUUUAUUUGGAGCCACUUUGUUGUAUUCCAGUUGCUUUUAUUGCCAUUUGUUUUGUUUCACAUCCGUUUUGAAUACCCACUGUGUUCAAUCAUGCAGUCAGUUCAGGUAGUUUAUUUGCCACACUGUUACUCUCUGGAGCCAAGCAUUCAAGUCUGUUUGUUUGUGUUGUCAGGUUUCUCAUUAGAUUCUGUGUGUGUUUUUUACUUUGACUUUUAGCUUGAUUGUGUGAUUUUGUGUUUUUGAACUAUUUCUCUUUUGCUUUGAUUUUGUUUUUUUUGUUUUUUUGCCUUUCAGCUCUAAUUGCCUGACUGUCAACUUGUGUUUGGCCCUUGCUGUUUUCACCUUGGCUUUACCUGACCCUCGUGUCCUGUAUAUCAGUACAUCUCCUCUUUUAACCUCAUGUAUACUGAAAAAACCUCAUGGUUACCUGAAUGUAAAGUUUGGCACUGCAGUAACGGAAGUAGUUACAAUUACUCGCAACCUCUCAUAGUCAUUGACUCCAAGCUUCUUUUUUCAUUUGCCAAUGUCCACAGUUAUGCAGUCCUGUGUCACUCAGCUUUGACAGAUAUCUAAAAUCCACUCAUUCUUGUCUUGGCCCAAUUUAGAAAAGGUCAGUCCUGCUUUUAUUUCCCCCAGACUUGACCACUACAUCGCACUUUACUCCAGCAUCAGUCAUCGUAACAUGCACAGGCCACAAUUAAUUCAAAAUGCUGCUGCCAGGCUUUUAACACAUAGCAAAAGGAGCAGCCGCAUAACACCGGUCCUUGCAGCUGUUCACUGGCUGGUUAGUUUUAGAAUUGAAUUUCAGAUUUUAUUCUUUCUUUUUAAAGCCCUGCACUGUCAGGCUCCUGCCUACAACUCUAAACUGUGAAUUCUCUAUACGCUUGGACAUUACCUCAGCCCAUCUAACAUGGCCUUUUUAGUGGCCCCAAAGACUCGUCUGGUCACUAAAAGUGUUUGAGCUUUUGUAGUUCGGGCCCCACAGCUCCCUGCCAGCAUAUCUCAGUCAGGCUAACUCUGAAUCUUGUUUUAAAUCUCUUUUUAAACCCUGCUUUUUUAUCAUUUGGCUUUUUCAAUUCAUUAAUGCUUACUUAUGCUUUGUGUUUAAUUAAUUCCAUUGCUUUAGGUGAAUUUGGAACAGCUUUUAAUUAAAUUUUUUUUAAGUUAGUAAGUUUUUUUAAGUUUUUAUUCUUAAGUUUUUAUUCUUUUGCACUUGAACUUUUUGAUUUUGAAAGGUUUUAGAUAAAUACAAAAAUAUAAAUGGCCUGUAUUUGUAUAGCGCUUUACACAUCCAGUCAUCCACCCACUGGUGAUGGUAAGCUACAUUGUAGCCACAGCCACCCUGGGGCGCACUGACAGAGGCGAGGCUGCCAGACACUGGCGCCACCGGGCCCCUGUGACCACCACCAGUAUAGGCAACGGGUGAAGUAUCUCGCCCAAGGAUACAACAAUAGAGACUGUCCAAGCCGGGGCUCGAACUAGCAACCUUCUGAUUACAAGGCAAACUCCCAACUCUUGAGCCACGACAUACAAGUAAAUAUGAUAUGCAUAUGUGUGACAUCUGCAAAUAUCUAAAAUCUUAGCAGCACAUUCAUGUAGAACAGCAGAGAAAAAUGGACCAAAACUUAGUUGGAGCUUCACAGACCUGCAGUGUUGCGUUACUAGGCCUAAGUUAC